rnacentral:rRNA from 1 species
CACCGGCGGCUCGAGUGGUGGCCACUUUUAUUGGGUCUAAAGCGUCCGUAGCCGGCUUGGCAAGUCCCCUGGGAAAUCUGGCGGCUUAACCGUCAGGCGUCCAGAGGAUACUGCCAGGCUUGGGACCGGGAGAGGUGAGAGGUACCUCAGGGGUAGGGGUGAAAUCCUAUAAUCCCGGGAGGACCACCUGUGGCGAAGGCGCUCGGCUGGAACGCGUCCGACGGUGAGGGACGAAGGCCAGGGGAGCAAACCGG